CUGAUCACAUGAACCUGAAACUCUGCUCGCAAAGUGCCUGGCACUUACAGCUCUUGUUGUAGUCCCUAAGGCCCAGCACACACACACUCUUGCCUUUUCUGUAGGUUUGCUGUGAACCCAGGCAGCUGCCACACAGACCUGACAACACGUCUGCUGGGGAGGGAGAUGGCAUCCAGGCUGGGGAGGCUGCUGAGCAAGGAUUUUUUGGGGCAGCCAUGGAGGAGGGAAGGGCUGUGAGAGUUACGGGGGCUACAAACAUCCCUUGCAGUUUCCCAGGAAUCCUAUAAACACACAGGCUUUCAGCUGACACUAAGACAAAACAUUCUCCACCCAGGACCUCCGCUGCCUUGGACCGUCACUGAGGGCCCAUCCCAAGCGUUUCCCAGACUUGUCAAGAUAAAGACUUUGGAGAAGAAGGGAGAGAUGUGUGAAGAGUAUGGCACAGCAACAGCCAAAGCUUCCCCAUAGAUUUGUUAUUGCAGAUUGGAACAUCUCAAACCCCCUGUGAUGACAAUGUGACAUGGCAAGAGGUGCUCUCGCUAUGGCUACAUGGAAGGAGCCGAAUGCCCUGGAUGUGCCUGGCUACUGCUGCUCCCCGCUGUGCCCAGUAAGUA
rnacentral:lncRNA from 1 species